AAUUUUGGACAAUGGGGGCAACCCUGAUCCAGCCAUCCCGCGUGUGCGAUGAAGGCCUUCGGGUUGUAAAGCACUUUUGGCAGGGAAGAAAAGGCGCGGGCUAAUACCCGGCGCCGCUGACGGUCCCUGCAGAAUAAGCACCGGCAAACUACGUGCCCGCAGCCGCGGUAAUACGUAGGGUGCAAGCGGUAAACUGAAUUACUGGGCGUAAAGCGUGCGCAGGCGGUUCGGCAAAAAGGAUGUGAAAUCCCGGGGAUUAACCUCGGAACUGCAUUCUUAACUGCCGGGCUAGAGUAUGUCAGAGGGGGGUAGAAUUCCACGUGUAGCAGUGAAAUGCGUAGAGAUGUGGAGGAAUACCGAUGGCGAAGGCAGCCCCCUGGGAUGAUACUGACGCUCAGACACGAAAGCGUGGGGAGCAAACA
rnacentral:rRNA from 1 species